rnacentral:rRNA from 1 species
UACGGGGGGGGCAAGCGUUGUUCGGAUUUAUUGGGCGUAAAGAGCUCGUAGGCGGCUUGGUAAGUCGAGUGUGAAAACUCUGGGCUCAACUCAGAGACGCCACUCGAUACUGCCAUGGCUUGAGUCCGGUAGGGGAGUGUGGAAUUCCCGGUGUAGCGGCGAAAUGCGUAGAUAUUGGGAGGAACACCAGUGGCGAAGGCGGCUCACUGGACCGGUUCUGACGCUGAGGCGCGAAAGCGUGGGGAGCAAACGGG